ACCACAACGACAACAGCGACAACAGCGAUAUCAACGACAACAACAAGAACAACAGUAACAACAACAAGAACAACCAGAACAACAACAACAACAACAACAACAACAACAACAACAACAACGACAACACCAACAAAACCAAUAACAACAACGGCAACAACAACAACAACAACAACAACAACAACAAAAUCGACCACGACGACAACGACAAAGACGACAACAACGAUAAUGAUGAGAACAAUGACAACAACGACAAUAACAACAACAAAAAAA
rnacentral:lncRNA from 1 species